AGCUUUGAGCAGUGGCAGUAUCAUAGCCAAUGAGAUUUAUCCAACGCACCAUUACUACUAAUUGAAAACUUUUACAGUACAUUUGUCUUAACCAUUUGGGAGUUAUGUUUUUCCCUAUCAGUACUUUUGUUUGAGACAGGGUCU
rnacentral:snRNA from 1 species